rnacentral:tRNA from 1 species
GGAAAUAUGGCAGAGAGGUUUAAUGCGCUCGACUUGAAAUCGAGAUGAGGUAGAAAUAUCUCACCGGGGUUCAAAUCCUCGUGUUUCCG